UACGUAGGGGGCAAGCGUUGUCCGGAAUCAUUGGGCGUAAAGCGCGUGUAGGCGGCUCGAUAAGUCUGUCGUGAAAGCCCCGGGCUCAACCUGGGAAUGGCGAUGGAUACUGGCGAGCUAGAGUACGGUAGAGGAGAGUGGAAUUCCCGGUGUAGCAGUGAAAUGCGUAGAGAUCGGGAGGAACAUCAGUGGCGAAGGCGAGUCCCUGGACAACUCCUGACACUGAGGCACGAAAGCUAGGGGAGCAAACAGG
rnacentral:rRNA from 1 species